UACUGACCUGCUUGUCGCAGAUAAGAGUCGCCGAACUAAACAUCAAAUCCGAAAAAUCAUCUAAACUUUACAUGGUAAAAAACCUACCAAGGAGUUUAUAGGACAGUUUUAUAACAACGGCCGAAAAGAGAAGCCAAGUGCUAUAAUCAAAGAAAGUAGCUAUGAGGGAUCUAAUUCGAAAAUAAAAAUACCUUCUAAAAGUUCUUUUGGCUUCUUGUAUUCUUAAAAAAGGCUAUACCCCGAAACCGACGGUAGUGCUCUGCGAAGCAAGUUCCGUGUUAAAGCUUCAAGCCCUUAUCUUACUCUUCUUCUCACUCUCCCGCUUUAUGUAUUU